rnacentral:SRP_RNA from 1 species
ACGGGGACUAGCCCGGGUGGUUAGGCGUCACCUGUUACCUGAAACCGCCGAUAUGCGGGGGGUGAUAGUCCGGGGACGGCUUUGGCGAUCUGUCUGAAGCUGCCAUUCCUGACUGCGAAGCCUUGUCCUAUGAGGUCAAUGGCGGGGAUUGGGGUAUUCCGGAGGGAAUAUUCUGCCCCUUGUCGCGGAGACCGGCCGAGGCCCGGAAGGGAGCAGGCUUACCGUGAACAUUUGGCGCCCAUGGGGGUGCGGGGUGGAGGAUGGGAUGUCAGAAUACGGCAGGCACGUAUUGUCUACCCUGGAUAUGUCCCUAU